GUGCUCGCUUCAGCAGCACAUAUACUAAAAUUGGAAUGACACAGAGAAGAUUAGCAUGGCCCCUGCAUGAGGAUGACUCGCAAAUUCAUGAAGAGUUCCAUAUAAAA